rnacentral:rRNA from 1 species
UACGUAGGGUGCAAGCGUUAAUCGGAAUUACUGGGCGUAAAGAGUGCGUAGGCGGCUAUAUAAGACAGAUGUGAAAUCCCUGGGCUUAACCUAGGAACUGCAUUUGUGACUGCAUGGCUAGAGUGUGGUAGAGGGAGAUGGAAUUCCGCAUGUAGCAGUGAAAUGCGUAGAUAUGCGGAGGAGCACCAAUGGCGAAGGCAAUCUCCUGGACCUGCACUGACGCUCAUGCACGAAAGCGUGGGGAGCAAACAGG